AGUGAACGCUGGCGGUAGGCCUAACACAUGCAAGUCGAACGGCAGCACAGUAAGAGCUUGCUCUUACGGGUGGCGAGUGGCGGACGGGUGAGGAAUACAUCGGAAUCUACUUUUUCGUGGGGGAUAACGUAGGGAAACUUACGCUAAUACCGCAUACGACCUACGGGUGAAAGCAGGGGAUCUUCGGACCUUGCGCGAUUGAAUGAGCCGAUGUCGGAUUAGCUAGUUGGCGGGGUAAAGGCCCACCAAGGCGACGAUCCGUAGCUGGUCUGAGAGGAUGAUCAGCCACACUGGAACUGAGACACGGUCCAGACUCCUACGGGAGGCAGCAGUGGGGAAUAUUGGACAAUGGGCGCAAGCCUGAUCCAGCCAUACCGCGUGGGUGAAGAAGGCCUUUGGGUUGUAAAGCCCUUUUGUUGGGAAAGAAAAGCAGCAGGUUAAUACCCCGCUGCUCUGACGGUACCCAAAGAAUAAGCACCGGCUAACUUCGUG
rnacentral:rRNA from 1 species